GAGGGGGGGAUGGCCCGCACGGUAAGACGAGGCGGCAGUUGCCCUGCUCUGGGUUUCCCCUCAGCCCCAGGCAACGCAAAGCUCGUUUCCCAGAAGCGCUGGAGUCCCUCAGCCCUAGCGCUGCAGAUUUGGGGGCCCUGGUGCGCUUGUUCGUUGGAAAGCACGAGGUCUGGGUCAGCUGAGCGGGGAAACCCAGCGCUGCUCAGACACAGCUCCUGGAUGUUCUUCCUAAAUGCGCAUCCCUGCCUCCUGCGGAGCCCUGGCACGGGGGCUCCGAAAGCAGCAGGUAGUCUCACUGGUGGUGGUGGGGGGAUCCCGAACCCCUCUCGCUUUGCCUACGGCCAUUAUGAAUCUCCCUGUUUCCCUGGGAUGCUCAGACUUCCACCACGUUUUUGAAGCAUGAUGCCAUUGCCUGGGUUUUGAAGAUAAGACUCUUGUGAGAAUGAUAGCAGCAAGUAAAAUUGAAUCCUGCAUCCUCUGGUUUGCCAUGGACAUUAAAGUUUAUUUGUUUAAAAGAAUAUUUACAGGUGGGUAAUGAUAAAAGGAGCUUUUCUUAUAUAUCUGGCCAUCUGAGUUGCAGUAGUACUAAUUCCCGUAAGCGUAUGCUCACUGCUGAAGCGUGGAAAAAUGGAGAAGAAAGAUGAUGAUGCAUUUUUUCCUCAUCUUGCGAAACAAUGAUUUCACGGAAGACAGGAUUCGGGCAGAGUACUGCGUCUUUUGGCCUCGCAUCCCUCAGCUCACCGAGUGCUGGCUCAGGCACUUUGAGGCAAGAGUGGUUUUUGUAACAAGUAUGGAGUUUUGAGGAGAGCUCUUUUGAAGCUCACUCUUACUUGCCUCGUGUCUUGCGUGUAGUCAUGUUGUGUGGUUACUAGAAGGUGGUCAUGGUGGAGUGAUUAGUGCCCUCACGUACUCCUUGAGGGGCCCUGAAAAAAAUACAUAGAGCUUUACAAGGCGGAGGCAUGGGGCUGGGGUUUUAGUAGGGCUAAAUGUUUUUUUUAAACACAGUUCACUUCUUGCUUACUAGGAAUUUAAGACAACAUUGUUUAAUAAGUCUUGAUGCUUAGAUCUUAAACAAUUCAAUUAAUUAUUCCAGCAAUGUAAUGCAGAAGUUACCAUUAAGAAACAGCCUUUCAUCAGUGGGCAUAGUUAAACUAGAUAUAUGCUAGUUUUAAUUAGUUCUGUAAAUAAAUGGUUAAACUAAGGCUAUAGUAUUUGACCCAAGUCUGUAUAGUAGUUACAAUAGCAACAGUCUUGGUCAUUUGGUAAUACCAGGACAGUGCUUCAAAUUAUUAGUUCAGUUGGCUCAUGAAAAGUGCUCUUUUUUCACAACUGGCUUUCAGUUAGUGUUACACACCUCAAAUAUUUACAUUUUGUAAAAUGUAAGAGUUAAUUAGCACUUGAAGUUUAAAGAUACCUGAUCUGGGUUUCAGACUACUGCUAUCUCUGUUCCCCUGACCAUCAACACUUGACUCCCUACCCUGAAGCUUUGUAUCACAUCAGUUACUUUAAAAAAUGAGGAAACAUCGCGACAUUCUACUAUGCAGAUAGCUGUCGAGUGUCCCUAGAGCACAGAGUUAACGUGUCUGAACCUAAGGGAUCACGCCAGUGCUCCUUGGAUUAAUUUCAGUUUAAACAACAGAAAUCAAGUCCCAUAUGCUUGAUUUAUAGUAUGUUGAUAGUAUUUUUCUUUGUCCUCCUAGUCUUCCCUAAUUAAUUGACCAUAGUACUUAACUAAGAGGGACAGAGGGAAUACACGUUUUGUUGUAAGAGGCACCAGAGAAAGGUGGUGUGCAAAUAUGCUGGCAGAGUACGGCAAGAGGCUGCAGAGCUCUUCUGUGUGGACACCUGCCACAGUGGGUUCAAGCCCACAAAAAUCUGGUAAUCCUUCUUUAUCCUGAUAAUCUUAACAGCAGCAUUUUACCAUGUUGCAAGGUUGAGGGAUGAAAUACAUCAGCCUGCUCUGUUGCUGGAAUUCAGAAACUCGUGGUUCUGUAUUCAAAAGCGCUUGUGAAUUCUGAAGCCUGAAGAGCAUCUGGUUUUUACACAAACAUCAUUCAAGGUUGGCAGCUGAGACACAGCGACCUUGGCUAUGAUAUGGAGAUCUCCAAGUGGAGCAGAACUCUCAGCUUCCCUGUCAGACUUCCCUACAAUCUGUGCUAUUAAUCAGAUCCUGCAAUAACACUUCUUUUAGAGCUUGAUUUCAGUGAAUUUAUUUAACCUUGUACAUGACAGGAGUUGCGCAGAGCUAAAUAGCAAUGGAAAGACAUUAACUUGACCCUCACCUUGAAGAGCUGCUGAAGGAACCUGUCCUUGGCAGCACUCAGAAAUGGCGGUGAGCUCUGGGACCAACAGAGUGGGGAAAAGUCGGAGGAAAAGGGUGUCUUGUCAACUGCUCUGCCAGUUUGCUCCCUUUGGAAAUAUUGCCAGAGCUUACAUGUUGAAGGGCUCAGGAGAAACUAGCAUGAAGUGCCGUGCAAAUGCUGUUUGCCACGCUCCAGGAGGAGGAGGAGGACUUCAGCCUGUGACAAGGGGCAGUACCUCAGCAGCCCAAGGGGAAACAGGGAGCCCGUCCUGAGAGAGAAAGCAGGCUUAUGCACCCGUCUGGGGAGAGACAGCAGGACCCUCUAAUGGACAGAGAAUUCAACCAAGCUGGAAGAACUGCUGAACACUGAGGCACGUGCGACCUCUUGCAGAGCGACUGAGCGGCACCCCUGUUUCACAGACGCAGGCCAGGCAAGCUUCUUACCCCAUCUCAUACAAACAAGCGCCAAGGUGGUUUUCUCCCCAGUGUAAUGGAUAUCUUCUAAAGUUCCUGAACUGCCAGUGGGCCCUCACAAGGGUGUUGGGUUAGGACACUUUUGCCCAUCUGCUGGGCCCCAGGUGCUGCCCAUUGAUGCAGAAUUUGUUCUCAGCAAAGUCCCAUUACAGGGGCAUGUCUCAUGCUCAGUCGGGACAGCAGAAGCUGUUGCCGCCCUCCUACAAGGUACCCUGCCCUUCUGCUGAAGGGCACCACUCGCCCACUGGGGCUGCUGUGGUCUACAGCCCAUCUGAUGAACACAUCCAGCAGCGGUUUAUCUUAAUUCCAGAAUAUG